UACGGAGGUGGCAAGCGUUGUUCGGAAUUACUGGGCGUAAAGGGCGCGUAGGCGGCCUGACAAGUCAGAUGUGAAAGCCCCGGGCUUAACUCGGGAAUUGCAUCUGAAACUGUUGGGCUUGAGUCCUGGAGGGGAUGGUGGAAUUCCCAGUGUAGCGGUGAAAUGCGUAGAUAUUGGGAGGAACACCUGCGGCGAAGGCGGCCAUCUGGACAGUGACUGACGCUGAGGCGCGAAAGCUAGGGGAG
rnacentral:rRNA from 1 species